GGACCGUGUAUAAGUCUCUUGGAACAGAGCGUCAUAGAGGGUGAGAAUCCCGUCUUUGACACGGACUACCAGUGCUUUGUGAUGCGCUCUCAAAGAGUCGAGUUGUUUGGGAAUGCAGCUCAAAAUGGGUGGUAAAUUCCAUCUAAAGCUAAAUAUUGGCGAGAGACCGAUAGCGAACAAGUACCGUGAGGGAAAGAUGAAAAGCACUUUGGAAAGAGAGUUAAACAGUACGUGAAAUUGCUGAAAGGGAAACGCUUGAAGUCAGUCGCGUUGGCCGGAACUCAGCCUUGCUUUUGCUUGGUGCACUUUCCGGUUAACGGGCCAGCAUCGAUUUUGACCGUCGGAUAAGGGUCAGGGAAAUGUGGCACCUUUUGGUGUGUUAUAGUCUCUGGUCGCAUACGUCGGUUGGGAUCGAGGAUCGCAGCGCGCCGCAAGGCAGGGGUUCGCCCACUUUCGCGCUUAGGAUGCUGGCAUAAUGGCUUUAAACGACCCGUCUUGAAACACGGACCAAGGAGUCUAACAAACCUGCGAGUGUUUGGGUGGUAAACCCGAGCGCGUAAUGAAAGUGAAAGUUGAGACCUCUGUCGUGGAGGGCAUCGACGCCCGGACCUGACGUUCUCUGACGGAUCCGCGGUAGAGCAUGUUUGUUGGGACCCGAAAGAUGGUGAACUAUGCCUGAAUAGGGUGAAGCCAGAGGAAACUCUGGUG
rnacentral:rRNA from 1 species